GGUUUGGAAUAGCCAGGAUGUUGUCUGCCGAGCUGGGUAUAUGGUGGCUGAAUUUCAUCAGGUGCAUGGUUUUAGUGGCUUUAUUGGAGGUCGACAGGUGGGUCGUGGGGUGACUGUAUGGACUCCUCCCUCUCCAGGUUAUGUGAAGAUGAAUUUUGAUGCUAGAAUUUUUGCUUAGGGACUGAUGGGGUUUGCUGUUAUCUUUCAGGAUGAGUUUGGUC
rnacentral:misc_RNA from 1 species